CCCCUAGAUGUUCUGGGCCGCACGCGCGCUACACUGAACAGUUCAACAAGUCUUAACCUUGGCCGAUAGGUCUGGGUAAUCUUUGAACGCUGUUCGUGAUUGGGAUAGACCUUUGCAAUUAUGGGUCUUCAACGAGGAAUUCCUAGUAAACGCAAGUCAUCAGCUUGCAUUGAUUACGUCCCUGCCCUUUGUACCCACCGCCCGUCGCACCUACCGAUUGAAUGGUCCGGUGAAAUCUCGGGACGGCGGCUUGGUCGCUUGCGUCCGACUGCUGAAACUUGAUUAAACCAUAUCAUUUAGAGGAAGGUGAANUCGUANCA
rnacentral:rRNA from 1 species